UGUGGGGCUCGAACUCACAAACCGUGAGAUCAUGACCUGAGUUGAAACCAAAAGUUAGACGCUUAACUGACUGAGCCACCCAGCUCUUCCUAAACAUGCAGGAAGUAAGUGCAUAAACACAUAAAUAAUAAGUAGAUGUAAGAUUGAUUUUAUACAUCUUAUUUUCAGAAAAGUUUUUGACAUUUUCAAUUAUACCUGUAUUUCAUUUAUAAAGAAAUAAAUGAAUGCUAUUGUCAGCGUGUUUAUAACUGAAAAUUGCCAUCGGUUACCUGUGGUAAAUGAACGUUUCAGCCUGGAGACCUAAUAGAUUGCUGUCCUCCCUUAUGUUAGUCAUGUUACAUUCGCAUAUUAAGGCAGAACAAGAAAGGAAACUGUGUAUCCCUUGGAAUAACCAAGGGAUAACCUCUGAGUUAAUAUUGGCUGUGACUUUUGUCUGUGUUCCCUGAAUCAACUGCCCUGAAGUCCAUGAAACAUGAAAUGUAGUUUUGUCAUUCCAGUGUAAUUUAUAAUUCUCAUAUAUUUGUCAUGUUGAAUUUUUGAAAAGAAGAGAAUAGCCUUUAAGCUCUAAGAUAGUAUGAUUCUGGGAUUAAAUCUAAUCCUCAUCUGUAGAAUGCUUGCUGAUGAGAGCCACUGCGUGUGAUGCAGACCUUUCUUGGUUGUUAACCUUCAUCUCUACCUCUCAGUUCCAGAGUUUCACUAAAACACAUGCUCCUUAUAUCAUCUUAUGAUGACAUCACUUGAUUGUUCUCUCAGCCGUCCACGAAUGUGCCUUCCGUAUGGGUGGCAGAUAGCAGUCGAUGAUGUUGGAUGGGAUUGGGCGCACACGGGAAACACCGGAUUCCCUACGAGACCUUGGCUUUCCAGCAUACGUGUGGCUGGAAAGGGCCAGUGGUACGUGGUCAGACUUGGUAUAACUUUUUCUCAUGCUUGGCCACAGUUGGCCCACCAGAACAAUCCAAUUAUUUCUCCCGUGUUAUCCUCAUAUUAUUUUCCCCACAUUAUUUCUCCUUCCCUGCUCUGUGUGCACAGUUGUCUUGGAUCCGGAUAUAAGAUUUCCCAUGUUUUUUUCAUGUCUAGUAAAGGAACUACAAUGGAGUCAUUAUUUUCUAUGAUGUAACGUAUGGUAGGAUGUCAUUUUUGUUGCUGUUUGUGUGUUUUGUUUUAUGUUUCCCAUUUGCUGUUACAUAGCCUAAUUUAAAUGGAAAAUUGUAAUCCUUAGGUACAGCCAAUUCCUUUAUGGUCUCUAUAGUCACUUCUAAGUAAGUAAGAAUUAAUUCUCCUAAAAGUGUUCUGAGGAAGAAUACCAAUUUUAGCUUUAGAGGGAGUUGCCCUGGUAGUUACAAGGCUUAAAAGUAUAGUCACACUGGGUGUGACAGUAUGAAGAAGUAUUUACUCUAUAGUGGUGCUUCUCUCAUUCAUUUAUUCAACCGGUGAUUUUUUUUUCAAGUUAUUAUGAUAUCUUUAUUGAUUGGCCAGAAGUCAUAGAAUGCAACUCAAACAAGUUGAGUUUGAGACAAG